CCAAAAGCUCCUUCCCCUAGUAACAAUCCACCCUAUGUUCCUACACCUCCAAAAACACCUUCUCCUUCUUAUAAUCCUCCUAAUGUUCCCACUCCUCCCAAAACACCUUCACCUAUUUACACUCCACCAAAUGUUCCUACUCCUCCAAAAACACCAUCUCCUGCUUAUAGUCCUCCAAAUGCUCCUUCCCCUCAUAACCAACCAAAUGUUCCUACUCCUCCAAAAACACCAUCUCCUGCUUAUAGUCCUCCAAAUGCUCCUUCCCCUCAUAACCAACCUCCCUAUGUUCCUACACCUCCAAAAACACCUUCUCCUUCUUAUAAUCCUCCUAAUGUUCCCACUCCUCCCAAAACACCUUCACCUAUUUACACUCCACCAAAUGUUCCUACUCCUCCAAAAACACCAUCUCCUGCUUAUAGUCCUCCAAAUGCUCCUUCCCCUCAUAACCAACCUCCCUAUGUUCCUACACCUCCAAAAACACCUUCUCCUUCUUAUAAUCCUCCUAAUGUUNNN
rnacentral:lncRNA from 1 species